CCUACGGGAGGCAGCAGUGAGGAAUAUUGGUCAAUGGGAGAGAGCCUGAACCAGCCAAGCCGCGUGAGGGAAGACGGCCCUAUGGGUUGUAAACCUCUUUUGUCGGAGAACAAAACCCGGGACGAGACCCGGACUGCGUGUAUCCGAAGAAAAAGCAUCGGCUAACUCCGUGCCAGCAGCCGCGGUAAUACGGAGGAUGCGAGCGUUAUCCGGGUUUAUUGGGUUUAAAGGGUGCGUAGGCGGGCUGUUAAGUCAGCGGUAAAAUUGCGGGGCUCAACCCCGUCGAGCCGUUGAAACUGGCAGACUUGAGUUGGCGAGAAGUACGCGGAAUGCGCGGUGUAGCGGUGAAAUGCAUAGAUAUCGCGCAGAACUCCGAUUGCGAAGGCAGCGUACCGGCGCCAGACUGACGCUGAGGCACGAAAGCGUGGGGAUCGAACAGGAUUAGAUACCCGUGUAGUC
rnacentral:rRNA from 1 species